rnacentral:lncRNA from 1 species
AAGAAAUAAGAGCUCCUGAGACCCUGCUGGAUACAAAUGCCCUGUACGACCUAAGGGCCUCCACAGCAGGAACAAAAGGAAUUUUGUCUGAGAUUUUAGCAGAAAAGUAAUUUUUGAAAUCUAUUCUUGGAUUUAGACGUUUAUUGGAUUUCAAAGCUUCUUGCUGCCCAGGAGCUUGUGAAUACGGUCAAAGGUCCAUGAAAUUUCCAAAGUGGUACCACAGCAGAUGAACCUGAAUGCAAACUGGAGGGACCAACAGAGUCCAGCCUAUAGACAUAAAUCCUUAACUACACCUAGAUCUCACUGUCUUUUCCAAUGGUCAAAAGAGGGGCUCUUGAAAUGGCUCCAUUGUUUUAUAGAAACAAGGUCUUCCUAAGAAGUCUUUUUCUCCUAUCUUUUUCUUACCCAAAAUAAAGGAAUGGCCCAAAACCUCAAGCCAAGCUUACCAGCUAUAAACAACUUGGUGGUCAGCAGCCAAAAGAAGAGUGGACAUGCCAUGGUCAUGUGGCACGUACCCUAUACAAGCUUCACAGAGAAGAAUGGAAGCACUUGAUUGUAAGACAGAGGGUGAGAUGUGAGAGGAAUAUUAACCUUCACUUUCCACAGGCAUUUUUUUCUGCAAAUGGCACCAGCUUUUGGACUUAAAAUUUUAUUCCAAAUACUAUUUAGAUGCAUCAGGGCCCUCAAAAUAUGGAUUUCAAGUUGGAGACAUCAAAGUGCAUUAUUUACUAAAACCACUGCAGCUUUUUUCCCCUCUCCUUUCACAAGAUGCUAUUGUAAAUUCAGGCUGCUUUAAUCUCUGUGAUUAAAAAAAAAAAGGAAGAAAGAAAAAAAAAGUGCUGCUUGAAGAGGAACUGAACUCACAAUCUGGGAGCUAGAAAGUAAAUAUUACCCAGAGAGUACCUCACUUUAAUUACUGGCCUGAACAUUGGUUUCAAUUUACAUGUAUUUUAAUUAGCCACAGAAGGGUUCACCUAUUACUCUCUGAAUACAAAACUUAAAAAGCAAACAGAAAAUAGGGAAAGAAAGGCUUAUUUAAGGGCCUCCAAGGAUUAAUCUUUGCAUUCUUCUCAUUUUUUCCCCGAAUUUGGGGAUAAAAUUUGUCGCAGGGAAUUUGAUCUUAGGGAAACAUUGAGUUUGGUUUGUGAACACAAGCUACUUCUGAACACUAUUUUAGCAAACAGAAUUUUAGAAGCAUAAGGCUCUAGCAGAGGGCUAUACAGAAUUUUGCAUAAACUAAAUAACAACCGUUUCCUCCUGAAAUGCAGGAAAUCAAGCUGCACGGGUAUGUUUGCUGAUUGGGUGAGUGAAUGAGUGAGUCAAUCAGUGAAAACUCCAGGCUCCUUUACUCUUCCUACCUUUCUUUAACAUCCUUAAACUUUUAUUUGAAUUUUUUAAAGUUUGUAAAUUGUUUUGCUUGUCCAUCUUGGACUGUCAGUUUCUGCCACCAAAAAAAAAAAGGAGUAAAAUUAAUUUUAAUUGACUUUAAUUUCAAAAAUGUGUCACACCAGAUUUCUAAAAAGUUGCAUUCUCAAAACAACUAGGCAUUAACAACUAGGCUUCAAGAAGCCUUAGAAUAUCUGUAACUAGAGAAAGAUGUGUGGCUGACUGAUUUACCAAGGACUAACAAUGACACUUGGGGAUAAAGUAUUUCUGGAUUAUGAAGACAUAACCUUUUAUUAAGUCUUGAGCCCCUUACUCCAACUCCACCAACCAGCCAACAGUUAUUCAAGCAGGUCCAACUGAGUUUCUGCACUGGGCGAGGAACUCUGUUAAAUGCUUUGGGGGAUAAAAAGAGGCCCAGUGGUGUGGUGGCUCACACCUGUAAUCCCAGCACUUUGGGAGGCCAAGGCAGGUGGAUCACUUGAGCCCAGGAGUUCAACACCAGCCUGGGCAACAUGGCAGAACCCCAUCUCCACAAAAAGUACAAAAAUUAGCCAGGCAUCGUGGUACAUGCCUGAAGGAGCUACUAGGGAGGCUCAGGUGGGAGGAUCACUUGAGCCCACGAGGUCAAGGUUGCAGUGAGCUGUGAACGUGCCAUUGCACUCCAGCCUGGGUGACAGAGCAAGACCCUGUCUCCAAAAAAAAAAAAAAAAAAGAGGUUGAGUACAUGGUUGUUAAGAAGUUAAGAAGUUUGUUAAGGGAGGUAGGACCUCUACGGACCUGUGGCAAGCACUUGUUCCAAGUUCUAAGGCACAGGAGACCACUUCUAAGUCGGGGGACAAUUAUGGGCUCUGCAGAAACGAUAAUAGUCAAUCUGUGAGGACUGAGCAAGAAUCAAUGGAGAGGCAUAAUACAUGCACUGUCCCCAAGCCAAAAGCCUGGUAUAUAUUUAGAAUAAUCAGUACAGGACUAGUUUUGCCGAGUGUCUGCUGUGGCCAGAGUGUGGAACAGAAAGGGGAUCUUGCAGGUCAAAGCCGUGUACCCAAGAAUGGAUAAUAUGGUCAGCCUGUGAUCUCAGAAUCUGUGUGGGAGUGAGAGGAGAAAAGGAAAGGAGUGACAAUGGCCUGUAAUGAGAGUUCAAAAGGAGACUUCUAUAGCCUAAGAUAGAGAUAAUGUCACUCUAAGUGUCUCUGGCAGGAGCCAAGAAAGAGAAAGAAGAAACAUAGCCAAUUAUUAAGCUGUUGGGCUCUAGAGCUUACCCAGCCUUGCCCUAUUGGCCUGGAAUGAGUUUACUGGGUGCUCCGUAAACUGCUACUGCAGUGGCUCUCACCCAGUAGCAUCUUAAAGGUGCUGCUCUGCUUCUGAUAGUUAUGCCAACAAUGACAUAGUAGAAGGCACUGGCUGCUGCUUCUCAGAUGGCCACAACCCCAAGACAGCAUGUUAGGAACCACUUACCUAUCAAUCCCAAAGUCCUUAGGUCUUCAGCAAAGCUUGGACCACUUGGCAAAGUCUUCUGUCUCCAGAGGAAUGAUGGGAAAACUAUGGGACAAAAGUCAGGAGAGUGGUGCUGGCUGAUCCUGGCCUGGACAUUGACUCCCUGGGGACUUUGGUGCUCUCUCGUGCUCUCUCUGUCUCCAGUGAUAAGCUGACCAGAUGCCUUGAAUUAAGUACAGGGUCACCAACAUCUCUAAUAGAAUCCAACUGUGGAAUAGAAAAACUAUUUCGUCUAAGAAGUGGAUCCUAGCUGUCAAAUAAAAAAUCGCUGUUGAAUGCUGUAAAGUACAUUUUUACACCCAUGUACAAUUUAGAGCUUAGGAACUCAUGGAAAAAAAUAGAGUUAACACGGAUAAAGGGAUUUUAAAAGGCGAGAGAGGGAAGAGUUUCUUAAGGAGUCUCCAAUGACAAAAAUGUGUUCAUUUUCUGAGACCUCCAGAAUGAAUUACUAAGGUAUCCUCAAACAAAAGUGGUUUUGCUAUUCAGAAAUUCAUAUGUUCUAAAUAGAG